rnacentral:rRNA from 1 species
CUUUAUCCCGAUUGAUCCUGUCGGAGUAGUAGGUUUUGUUUGAGGGUUAAGCCAUGCAGGGGAGCCAAGCGGAUUUUUCAUCCGCUGAGCCCCAGCUGGCUCAAUCCCUGGCGCAAAUCACCCUCGGUGACAAGUAAAGUGUCUAUCUAUGGGAAACUGUAGUUAACACACGGAAAAACGGCUAAGCAUGAUUUUAGUCUCGCACUCCAGGCGGAGGCAUCCUCAAAAACUCGAGGAAAGAAGGAGCUGCGGCUUAAUAUACAUUGUGAAAGCGUCAGACUAACAGGUUGAAGGAAAGGGAGAGGCUGAAAUUGCCCUCAACGGUGCCGGGGAAUUAACGUUCUGUCCCGGAGAGGAAGGGUUAGAUGCGGCUUUCAGAGCUAUGGCUCGCAGCAGGCGCGAAAAAUACCCAUUUCCUUAGGGGAGAGGUUGCAAAAAGUGGCAUGAACGGCCCCUCUAUUGGGGGCCUCGUUCGAAUGAGGAUGGAGCAAAAAGGCUUCCGAGAAACAAGCAGAGGGCAAGUCUGGUGCCAGCAGCCGCGGUAAUUCCAGCUCUGCGGAUCUACUUCUGGGUUGCUGCACCUAAAACGCUCGUCGCACAUGUUAGUGCGGCGGUUGUUGUGUUUCAAUCUGGCUAACUGUUGCAUUGGAUACAUUGAGUUUCAUAAUGUGAUGUAGAGCGAGAUUUGUAGCGGCAUUCGCUCGCGCAACUGAAGGGACGUAAGGACAAUCUUGAGUGAUUGCCUGCGUACCGUCAAAGUCUGCCGUAGUGAAACCUGAGUGAGUAAAAACAAGCGAAGUGCCUUAAAGCUUUGCUACGGAACAGAGAAAGAUAUUUAACCGAAACAUAGAGGAAGCCCGCUUAAAGAUGAAUCAGGGAAUCGCGAAAUACCACGCGAUGAUAAGAGGCCGACGGGAAGGGUGAAAAUUAGGGAGCGCCCGAGGCUUCACUAGGGCGAAGGCGGCCAUCAGGUGUGCGUCCGCCUGUUCUGAACGAAAGUUAGAGGGCCAAAGGUGAUCAGAUACCGCUGUAGUUUUUGCCGUAAACGAUGGCGAGCCUGUUUGCUUAGGAUUGUGGGGGCGUCCAUGCUGCUUUGGGCGAAAAUGGAAGCAUAAACUUGCCUGUGGGGAGAAUAUGGUCGCAAGGCUGAAAUUUAAAGGAAUUGGCGGAAGGGCACCACCAGAAGUGGAUUAUGCGGUUUAAUUCGACUCAACGCGGGGAAACUUACCCAGGUAAAAGCCUGGAAUGAUGGACAACUUACAGUGUUUUCCUGAUUCAGGUGUUGGUGGUGCAUGGCCGUUCCUAGUUGGUGGAGUGAUUUGUCUGGUUGAUUCCGAUAACGAACGAGAUCUACGCCUGGAUUUUAAAUAUAACUACUCGAAAACGCCUAGUUUAGAAUGCGUUAUUACUUGCAGUGUCCAGGACAAGCAACGACAUUAAAGUUACGCUAAGCAGUAGGCGAUAACAGGUCUGUGAUGCCCCUAGAUAUCUGGGGCUACACGCGUAAGACAUUUGGAAUACCAACGCGGAAAUAUAAUAUUUUUACGAGGCGGAAACGUGCAUCUCGUAAAUCGUUAAUGUUAUCCAUAGGUUGGGAUAGGCGAUUGCAAGGGUUGCCUUUAACGCGGAAUUCCUAGUAUGCGCGCGUCAACAACAGGCACCGAAUGCAUCCCUGCCCUUUGCACACACCGCCCGUCGCUACCUCCGACGAGCUUUGAAAUGAGCAGGCGGGAGGAGGUUAUCACUCACGGGUUAGCCUGUUGUUUUAACACCGAACGAAUGUAAAUUAUUUGGCUUGAAGGGAGUAAAAGUCGUAACAAGGUCACUGUAGGGGAACCUGCUGUGGGAUCAUACGCGGAUUUUAUUCCAUUCCUUUCGGGGA